UACGGAGGGUGCAAACGUUGCUCGGAAUCAUUGGGCGUAAAGCGCACGUAGGCGGACCGCUAAGUCGGAUGUGAAAGCCCUCGGCUUAACUGAGGAAGUGCGCCCGAAACUGCCGAGCUUGAGUGCCGGAGAGGAUGGCGGAAUUCCCCAAGUAGAGGUGAAAUUCGUAGAUAGUGGGGAGGAACACCGGGUGGCGAAGGCGGCCAUCUGGACGGUGACUGACGCUGAGACGGCGAAAGCGUGGGGAGCAAACAGGG
rnacentral:rRNA from 1 species